rnacentral:rRNA from 1 species
GAUGAACGCUGGCGGUGUGCCUAAUACAUGCAAGUCGAGCGAACAGACGAGGAGCUUACUCCUCUGACGUUAGCGGCGGACGGGUGAGUAACACGUGGAUAACCUACCUAUAAGACUGGGAUAACUUCGGGAAACCGGAGCUAAUACCGGAUAACAUGUUGAACCGCAUGGUUCAACAGUGAAAGACGGUCUUGCUGUCACUUAUAGAUGGAUCCGCGUCGCAUUAGCUAGUUGGUAAGGUAACGGCUUACCAAGGCAACGAUGCGUAGCCGACCUGAGAGGGUGAUCGGCCACACUGGAACUGAGACACGGUCCAGACUCCUACGGGAGGCAGCAGUAGGGAAUCUUCCGCAAUGGGCGAAAGCCUGACGGAGCAACGCCGCGUGAGUGAAGAAGGUCUUCGGAUCGUAAAACGCUGUUAUUAGGGAAGAACAAAUGUGUAAGUAACGAUGCACGUCUUGACGGUACCGAAUCAGAAAGCCACGGCUAACUACGU